rnacentral:rRNA from 1 species
UGGGGAAUUUUGGACAAUGGGCGCAAGCCUGAUCCAGCCAUACCGCGUGAGUGAAGAAGGCCUUCGGGUUGUAAAGCUCUUUCAGACGGAAAGAAACGGUUACGGCUAAUACCCGUGACUAAUGACGGUACCGUAAGAAGAAGCACCGGCUAACUACGUGCCAGCAGCCGCGGUAAUACGUAGGGUGCGAGCGUUAAUCGGAAUUACUGGGCGUAAAGCGUGCGCAGGCGGUUUGGUAAGACAGAUGUGAAAUCCCCGGGCUUAACCUGGGAACUGCAUUUGUGACUGCCAGACUAGAGUGUAGCAGAGGGGGGUAGAAUUCCACGUGUAGCAGUGAAAUGCGUAGAUAUGUGGAGGAAUACCGAUGGCGAAGGCAGCCCCCUGGGCUAACACUGACGCUCAUGCACGAAAGCGUGGGGAGCGAAACAGGAUUAGAUACCCAAGUAGUCCCUGAGCGGGCUGGCAAGGCGCAU